rnacentral:rRNA from 1 species
UACAGAGGUCUCGAGCGUUGUUCGGAUUCAUUGGGCGUAAAGGGCGCGUAGGCGGUCUGCUAAGUUGGAUGUGAAAACUCUGGGCUUAACCCAGAGCCUGCAUUCAAUACUGACAGGCUAGAGUUCUGGAGGGGAUAGCGGAAUUCCUGGUGUAGCGGUGAAAUGCGUAGAUAUCAGGAGGAACACCGAUGGCGAAGGCAGGUCACUGGGCCGCAACUGACGCUGAGGAGCGAAAGCAUGGGGAGCGAACAGG